GACAUAGGUGGCGAACGUUUAUCCGGAAUUAUUGGGCGUAAAAGGGUGCGUAGAUGGUUUGAUAAGUUAUUAGUGGUAAAUCGAGGCUCAACCUCGUGGAAGUUAGUAAUACUAUUAGACUAGAGUACAGGAGAGGUUAAUGGAACUCUAUGUUAGGGGUAAAAUCCGCAGAUAUAGAUGAACACCAAUAACGCGAAGGCAGUUAACUAUUCUGCUACUGACAUUGAGGCACGGAAAGGCGUGGGGAGCAAAACGGG
rnacentral:rRNA from 1 species